GAUGAACGCUGGCGGCGUGCCUAAUACAUGCAAGUCGAGCGAAUGGAUUAAGAGCUUGCUCUUAUGAAGUUAGCGGCGGACGGGUGAGUAACACGUGGGUAACCUGCACAUAAGACUAGGAUACCUCCGGGAAACCGGGGCUAAUACCGGAUAACAUUUUGAACCGCAUGGUUCGAAAUUGAAAGGCGGCUUCGGCUGUCACUUAUGGAUGGACCCGCGUCGCAUUAGCUAGUUGGUGAGGUAACGGCUCACCAAGGCAACGAUGCGUAGCCGACCUGAGAGGGUGAUCGGCCACACUGGGACUGAGACACGGCCCAGACUCCUACGGGAGGCAGCAGUAGGGAAUCUUCCGCAAUGGACGAAAGUCUGACGGAGCAACGCCGCGUGAGUGAUGAAGGCUUUCGGGUCGUAAAACUCUGUUGUUAGGGAAGAACAAGUGCUAGUUGAAUAAGCUGGCACCUUGACGGUACCUAACCAGAAAGCCACGGCUAACUACGUGCCAGCAGCCGCGGUAA
rnacentral:rRNA from 1 species